AUUGAACGCUGGCGGAAUGCUUUACACAUGCAAGUCGAACGGCAGCACGGACUUCGGUCUGGUGGCGAGUGGCGAACGGGUGAGUAAUGUAUCGGAACGUGCCCAGUCGUGGGGGAUAACGUAGUGAAAAUUACGCUAAUACCGCAUACGAUCUAUGGAUGAAAGCGGGGGAUCGCAAGACCUCGCGCGAUUGGAGCGGCUGAUAUCAGAUUAGGUAGUUGGUGGGGUAAAGGCCCACCAAGCCAACGAUCUGUAGCUGGUCUGAGAGGACGACCAGCCACACUGGAACUGAGACACGGUCCAGACUCCUACGGGGGGCAGCAGUGGGGAAUUUUGGACAAUGGGCGAAAGCCUGAUCCAGCCAUUCCGCGUGCAGGAUGAAGGCCCUCGGGUUGUAAACUGCUUUUGUACAGAACGAAAAGGUUUCUACUAAUACUAGGAGCUCAUGACGGUACUGUAAGAAUAAGCACCGGCUAACUACGUGCCAGCCGCCGCAGUAA
rnacentral:rRNA from 1 species